rnacentral:rRNA from 1 species
UCGGGAAUUUUGGGCAAUGGGCGAAAGCCUGACCCAGCAACGCCGCGUGCAGGAUGAAGGCGUUAUGCGUUGUAAACUGCUUUUAUAUAGGAAGAAAUAGUCCUUGCGAGGAAAGUUGACGGUACUAUAUGAAUAAGCACCGGCUAACUCCGUGCCAGCAGCCGCGGUAAUACGGAGGGUGCAAGCGUUGUCCGGAUUUAUUGGGUUUAAAGGGUGCGUAGGCGGUUUAUUAAGUCAGUGGUGAAAGACGGUCGCUCAACGAUUGCAGUGCCAUUGAUACUGGUAGACUUGAGUAUGAUUGAGGUAGCUGGAAUGGAUAGUGUAGCGGUGAAAUGCAUAGAUAUUAUCCAGAACACCAAUUGCGUAGGCAAGUUACUAAGUCAUAACUGACGCUGAGGCACGAAAGUGUGGGUAUCAAACAGGAUUAGAUACCCCCGUAGUCCCUGAGCGGGCUGGCAAGGCGCAU